rnacentral:rRNA from 1 species
UGGGGAAUAUUGGACAAUGGGCGGAAGCCUGAUCCAGCAACGCCGCGUGAGGGAUGACGGCCUUCGGGUUGUAAACCUCUUUCAGCACAGACGAAGCUUGUCUCACGUGUGGGGUGGGUGACGGUAUGUGCAGAAGAAGCACCGGCCAACUACGUGCCAGCAGCCGCGGUAAUACGUAGGGUGCGAGCGUUGUCCGGAAUUAUUGGGCGUAAAGGGCUCGUAGGCGGUUUGUCGCGUCGGGAGUGAAAUCCACUGGCUUAACUGGUGGCUUGCUUUCGAUACGGGCAGACUGGAGGUAUGCAGGGGAGAACGGAAUUCCUGGUGUAGCGGUGAAAUGCGCAGAUAUCAGGAGGAACACCGGUGGCGAAGGCGGUUCUCUGGGCAUGUCCUGACGCUGAGGAGCGAAAGUGUGGGGAGCGAACAG